AAAAUCAAAACCAAAAAGAACCCCAACAACCCACAAAGAGCAAGGAGUUUGUCUAGUGUUGGAGCACUAUUCCUGGGCAUGGGGCCUGCCCUGCACUGUGAUUUGGUAGACCUAGUGACACUCUAUUGGAGAAAACUGAUUUUUCCCCUUCCCGGAAGCUAUCAAUCCCAAGUAGCUUCUUAGGAGUGGGGCUUUGCAUCCACCUCCUCUUCUCAGUGCUAGGAUUUUUUGUGUGGUUUAAAACUCUGCAGCUUUUGUACGGUCAGCCUGCUUUACUCCAUAACUCAGGACCAUUUACCCCGGCGUAGUACCUCCCACAGUGUGCUCUGCAGUCUCACAACCAUCUUAUUCAAGAAAAUGCCUCAUGGAUAUGCCCACGAGCCAGUCCGAUGGAAGUCAUUCUCCAGCGAGAAUCCCUCUUUUCAGGUGACUCACGUUGGCGUCCAGUUGGUGAAAGCUGACUAGCCCAGCCUGCAGAGGCAGUCGGCAUGCCUGCCCGGUGUUCCUUUGCACGGAAGUCCCAGAGAGCGAGUGCUGUGGAAGAGUCAAGCAUUGGCAUGUAAGGAGGAAGCUGUGAGCUGGGAUGAAUCCAGAAACGUUUUCUCAGGGGUAGUAUUUUGUGAUAGUGUCACCGGAGUCGAGCAAGUAUCAGUUGGAGGCAUACAAAACUGAGGAUCUAGAGUCAAAGAACCCAGAUCCUUGAAGAUCUCUAGUAACUUCUAGCGAAUGGGAAAAUCUACAAAGCUGAUUCUUUAGCUUUGAAUGUAAACAAACAUCUGAGCUCGAGUUUCUCAGUGUUGUCUUUCCUAGGGUCAUCUGCCAUGUGUCCUGCACUCCCAGAAUCCUGUUCUCAGUCAGUGGUCUCCUUCAGCUGUUAUGGUGACCAUAACUGAUGCUCUCAGGUACUCAUGCGCUAGCUCAAGUGAAGAAUUCCCACUUGACCAUGUCCUUGAAGUCCUCAUUAGUGAUGGAACUUAUAGGCCCUGGGAUAAAGUUUAAUAACUGACAAAACAUUUCCUUACUCUUCAUCUCAUUUGACUGUCAUGUGGAUAUGACCUGUCACCUGCGAGGAAUCGCUGUGUCAGUGUGAGGGUGAAGAAAAGAGACCAGUGUGACCUGUGUGGUCCUGCCUUUGCCUGCCAGUGGGCUUUUCUUUUUCCUACUGAAGAAUGGAAUCUUUAAAAACUUGAAUUUGUACUCCAGCAGCUGAUUAAUCAUUUGUAGGAAUUUUGUUUACAGGGACCACAUUGGCUGGAGCCUUUCAGACUUUCCCCCUAAGAUCCAGGUGUGGAAAGUGAUACGUUCGCAGAGAACCGGUGAAAUUCAGCUGGCCCAGGCCAUUCAGUGUGAAUGGCAUUUGUUUGCAACUCCCCAUGCAGUAUCCACAGUGUGCCACAUGCCACCCUAUCCUGAGAGGUCAGCAAAGAGGUUAAUGUUAUUAGUGAUAUUAUUUUCAGGUCUGAGAGGUUCAGAGAUAUUAAGGAAUUAUACCAUGGGACUGCAUAGAAUGGUCCAAAUGGGGUUUAAACCCGGGGCUGGAACCCUAACUUCUACUUGUAGAGCUCAUGAGGUUUCUUGAAUUUGUUGGUCUGGGUUUUGUUGAGCUCUACUGAGGCCCAUUUCCAGAUUGGCUCCAAGGGAGUUGCAGUGGAGCUGGGAAACUUACUCUGGUAGUACAGAGCAGAGCUGGGAACUUUAUUCUGGUAGGACAGAACUAGUCUGUCCCCGGACUUCGGGCGCUGUCCUCUCUCCAGUCUCCUUGGCUAUCAUAGGUAGUGCUAUUAUUUUGGGUGGUCACUACCAGACUUUCUAAUCUGUUUUCAAACCUUUCUCCCAGCUUCUCCAGGACACUGGAUUUUGUGGGUAUCGGAAGGGUCCUUUGGCUCUGGGCUGGAGUCAGAUGAGCUAUGAAGAAAGGAAGCCAGAAGAGAGCAUCAGUUCCCAUGGAAGUGAAGUUACAGGUGACUGUGAGCUACCUCACGUGAGUAGAGUAUACUCUUAACCGCUCGGUCAUGUCCCAGCCUGAACCCGUGUCUGUAAUACAAUCUAUAGACGUUGUUUCUCUUGCUUUUGCUUUUUAAAGCAAUAUAGAAAAAGGAGCAAAGGUUAGAGUUGGGGCUUUCUGACAUGGUGGCAAAAUAACCAGAAAUAAAUAAUUUAAGUUUGGAUCCAUUGUCAUUCACCGCCCUCCCCCCCACACACACAUACUGUGGUAAGGCAGAGCAUCAUGGGGGGGAACAUGUGUUAGAGAAAAUUGUUCAUCUCGUAGUAGAUGGAAAGGAGAGGUUUGGACAAUGUGGGAGGGAGGGAAGAGGAGAGCAAGGAAGGGGUGGGCACCAAGGGUGGUCUAGAGACAAGACAGAUCUACCGAAGGUAUACUCUGAAUGACCCUUCAACUAGAUCCUACUUCCAUCACCUCCUGAUAGCCCAUCAAACUGUGAACCCCUCAAUCAAUGAGUUAAUUCAUCAAUGAUGUCAUAGCUGGCAUGAUUCAUUGAUACACCCAAAGCGAUCUCAAUGCAUCAGUGGCAAGAAUUUCAUCACAGGAGGGCAUUUCAAGAUCAAAACAAAAUAGGGCUCCAAGGGGUUAUAAAAAGUCCCAGACUAGGUCUGGUGGCUAAGUGACCCAAGUGGAACACUUACAAGCUAUGCCAUAUUAUCUCUCCCACUAAUAUGAAUGAGAAUAGAUUCUUCUUAUCUUUCUUGCAUGCCUCCUGAGAAAAUGAACCACAGGAAGUCUAAAGGAAAUGCUCCGUAAAUGCUGAAAUGUUCCAAAGCCUGAAAAUGUUCCAAAUACCGAAAUCCCUGCCUUUUCUCUCCAAGGCUGCCAUGUAGGAGUUAUAGAAGCCACACGCAUAAGAUCUUGUUGUUCCUAUGCAAGGACCGGGAGCCUUGCUUCAGUCUCAGACCUGAUCUUGUGACUCUCAAGUGUUCUAGUGUGUCCACUGCUGCCUUGGACCUUUGGCAGAAUAAUCAGAGCCCCUCCACCUCACCAUUUCUAAGAGAUUUCCACAUAAAACAAAAUGCUUGCUGUGCAAAUCUCAUGAUUUACAAGAUCACUGACCAAGACCAAGAUCACUGACCCUAUACCUGUCCAUGAAAUUGCUCCUGUGGCAUGGGUCAGUAUCACUAAAUUUCUAGAUGUUCUGUCUGUUGGAUGACUUCUCGUCCUCACCAGCUUAGGUGAAACAAAGAAGGACCCAAUAACUCUGCUUCUCCAUGAAGGAAUUUACUUUGUCACAGGCUUGGAAGAAGGAGAGUGAGUAUGUAUUAUGGUCAGGAAAAUGUCCACAUGACAGUGGUGCAUCUGAGGGACUGGCUCAAUGUGUUUCCAGCGGUGGGUGCUACAUUGAAGGGGUUGUUAGAAGACAAAGCCAUGGGUCUCAGAACCAUGUGGAUGAAUAGAAACAAGCCAGAAGGGAAAUAAACACUAUUCACUUCUUCUGUUUUACAGUAGGAACUGUGAGUAAGUUUCUUGAUGCACAGUCACUGCUUAUCUUUUUAGCUUCCCGAGAGCUAGGAAGGCCACAUAAUACUCUUUCUAUAGUUUUCAAGAUUCCCUUAUGUGAUCACUCAGUAUAUUAUAUUAGCAUUCAAUUCACAAGCCUGCCUUUAACAGAUAGACAGUGCAGAAUUUAAAAUCUGAAUAUAUAUAUCCCCUCAUGUUUAUUGAUAGGAAUUUCAAAUGCAGAAAUAGAGCCCGAAUGGUUAGAAUAGGGAUAAUUGUACAGGUAGGUUUUACUAAAAACCAAGGAAGGCUUUGGAAGGCUUUUUGGCGCGUAGAGCCAUCAAAGUGUAAAUGCUCUGCUAGGGAAGUAAUUGUUUUCUGUUAGAGGUAAGCAAGCAGAGUGGGGGAGGGACUUGGAGCUUACGAGGUUUAUAUGUCGACUGGUAACCUUCAUGUUCUCACAGAUCUUUAGCCACACAUAUAGAAAGAAUUCGAUAUGUGUAUUUAAAU
rnacentral:sRNA from 1 species